UGCCAGCCGCCGCGGUAAUACGGAGGGGGUUAGCGUUGUUCGGAAUUACUGGGCUUAAAGAGUUCGUAGGUGGUUAAAAAAGUUGGUGGUGAAAGCCCAGAGCUUAACUCUGGAACGGCCAUCAAAACUUUUUAGCUAGAGUAUGAUAGAGGAAAGCAGAAUUUCUGGUGUAGAGGUGAAAUUCGUAGAUAUUAGAAAGAAUACCAAUUGCGAAGGCAGCUUUCUGGAUCAUUACUGACACUGAGGAACGAAAGCAUGGGUAGCGAAGAGGAUUAGAUA
rnacentral:rRNA from 1 species